rnacentral:rRNA from 1 species
ACGAACGCUGGCGGCGUGCCUAAUACAUGCAAGUUGCGCGAUGAAGAUUGGUGCUUGCACCAAUUUGAAGAGCAGCGAACGGGUGAGUAACGCGUGGGGAAUCUGCCUUUGAGCGGGGGACAACAUUUGGAAACGAAUGCUAAUACCGCAUAACAACUUUAAACAUAAGUUUUAAGUUUGAAAGAUGCAAUUGCAUCACUCAAAGAUGAUCCCGCGUUGUAUUAGCUAGUUGGUGAGGUAAAGGCUCACCAAGGCGAUGAUACAUAGCCGACCUGAGAGGGUGAUCGGCCACAUUGGGACUGAGACACGGCCCAAACUCCUACGGGAGGCAGCAGUAGGGAAUCUUCGGCAAUGGACGAAAGUCUGACCGAGCAACGCCGCGUGAGUGAAGAAGGUUGUCGGAUCGUAAAACUCUGUUGGUAGAGAAGAACGUUGGUGAGAGUGGAAAGCUCAUCAAGUGACGGUAACUACCCAGAAAGGGACGGCUAACUACGUG